rnacentral:snoRNA from 1 species
UGUUUGUGAUGCGUUUUGGCAUGGAUUAUCUGAGUAUAAAUUCGAAGAUUAUCAGUUUAGCUCUAGAAUUACUCUGAGACCUG